rnacentral:lncRNA from 10 species
UAAAUAGGGAAUCCUUUCCCCAUUGCUUGUUUUUCUCAGGUUUGUCAAAGAUCAGAUAGUUGUAGAUAUGCGGCGUUAUUUCUGAGGGCUCUGUUCUGUUCCAUUGAUCUAUAUCUCUGUUUUGGUACCAGUACCAUGCUGUUUUGUUCCAAAUAUGUGAGUUUUUUUGAGAUGUUCUACUGCUGUUCAUUUCUAAUUUUAUUUCCUUUGUGGUCAGAAAACAUAUUAUUUAGAUUUCCAUAUUUGAAAUUUUUAAGACAUAUUUUAUGACCCAGCAGUGUUUUAGAAAUGUGAAUUCAGUCAAUGUGGUUAAUUAUGUUUUAAAAAAUCUUCUUUACU